AGGGGAGUGAAAAAGAACCUGAAACCGUGUACGUACAAGCAGUGGGAGCACCCUUUGGGGUGUGACUGCGUACCUUUUGUAUAAUGGGUCAGCGACUUAUAUUCUGUAGCAAGGUUAACCGAAUAGGGGAGCCGGAGGGAAACCGAGUCUUAAUUGGGCGUUAAGUUGCAGGGUAUAGACCCGAAACCCGGUGAUCUAGCCAUGGGCAGGUUGAAGGUUGGGUAACACUAACUGGAGGACCGAACCGACUAAUGUUGAAAAAUUAGCGGAUGACCUGUGGCUGGGGGUGAAAGGCCAAUCAAACCGGGAGAUAGCUGGUUCUCCCCGAAAGCUAUUUAGGUAGCGCCUCGUGAAUUCAUCUCCGGGGGUAGAGCACUGUUUCGGCUAGGGGGCCAUCCCGGCUUACCAACCCGAUGCAAACUGCGAAUACCGGAGAAUGUUAUCACGGGAGACACACGGCGGGUGCUAACGUCCGUCGUGAAGAGGGAAACAACCCAGACCGCCAGCUAAGGUCCCAAAGUCAUAGUUAAGUGGGAAACGAUGUGGGAAGGCCCAGACAGCCAGGAUGUUGGCUUAGAAGCAGCCAUCAUUUAAAGAAAGCGUAAUAGCUCACUGGUCGAGUCGGCCUGCGCGGAAGAUGUAACGGGGCUAAACUAUGCACCGAAGCUGCGGCAGCGACACUAUGUGUUGUUGGGUAGGGGAGCGUUCUGUAAGCCUGUGAAGGUGUGUCGUGAGGCAUGCUGGAGGUAUCAGAAGUGCGAAUGCUGACAUAAGUAACGAUAAAGCGGGUGAAAAGCCCGCUCGCCGGAAGACCAAGGGUUCCUGUCCAACGUUAAUCGGGGCAGGGUGAGUCGACCCCUAAGGCGAGGCCGAAAGGCGUAGUCGAUGGGAAACGGGUUAAUAUUCCCGUACUUGGUGUUACUGCGAAGGGGGGACGGAGAAGGCUAUGUUGGCCGGGCGACGGUUGUCCCGGUUUAAGCGUGUAGGUGUGUGUUCCAGGUAAAUCCGGUUCACUUUAACACUGAGGCGUGAUGACGAGGCACUACGGUGCUGAAGCAACAAAUGCCCUGCUUCCAGGAAAAGCCUCUAAGCAUCAGGUAACAUCAAAUCGUACCCCAAACCGACACAGGUGGUCAGGUAGAGAAUACCAAGGCGCUUGAGAGAACUCGGGUGAAGGAACUAGGCAAAAUGGUGCCGUAACUUCGGGAGAAGGCACGCUGACACGUAGGUGAAGUGAUUUACUCAUGGAGCUGAAGUCAGUCGAAGAUACCAGCUGGCUGCAACUGUUUAUUAAAAACACAGCACUGUGCAAACACGAAAGUGGACGUAUACGGUGUGACGCCUGCCCGGUGCCGGAAGGUUAAUUGAUGGGGUCAGCGCAAGCGAAGCUCCUGAUCGAAGCCCCGGUAAACGGCGGCCGUAACUAUAACGGUCCUAAGGUAGCGAAAUUCCUUGUCGGGUAAGUUCCGACCUGCACGAAUGGCGUAAUGAUGGCCAGGCUGUCUCCACCCGAGACUCAGUGAAAUUGAACUCGCUGUGAAGAUGCAGUGUACCCGCGGCAAGACGGAAAGACCCCGUGAACCUUUACUAUAGCUUGACACUGAACAUUGAGCCUUGAUGUGUAGGAUAGGUGGGAGGCUUUGAAGUGUGGACGCCAGUCUGCAUGGAGCCGACCUUGAAAUACCACCCUUUAAUGUUUGAUGUUCUAACGUGGACCCGUGAUCCGGGUUGCGGACAGUGUCUGGUGGGUAGUUUGACUGGGGCGGUCUCCUCCUAAAGAGUAACGGAGGAGCACGAAGGUUGGCUAAUCCUGGUCGGACAUCAGGAGGUUAGUGCAAUGGCAUAAGCCAGCUUGACUGCGAGCGUGACGGCGCGAGCAGGUGCGAAAGCAGGUCAUAGUGAUCCGGUGGUUCUGAAUGGAAGGGCCAUCGCUCAACGGAUAAAAGGUACUCCGGGGAUAACAGGCUGAUACCGCCCAAGAGUUCAUAUCGACGGCGGUGUUUGGCACCUCGAUGUCGGCUCAUCACAUCCUGGGGCUGAAGUAGGUCCCAAGGGUAUGGCUGUUCGCCAUUUAAAGUGGUACGCGAGCUGGGUUUAGAACGUCGUGAGACAGUUCGGUCCCUAUCUGCCGUGGGCGCUGGAGAACUGAGGGGGGCUGCUCCUAGUACGAGAGGACCGGAGUGGACGCAUCACUGGUGUUCGGGUUGUCAUGCCAAUGGCACUGCCCGGUAGCUAAAUGCGGAAGAGAUAAGUGCUGAAAGCAUCUAAGCACGAAACUUGCCCCGAG
rnacentral:rRNA from 1 species